rnacentral:tRNA from 1 species
UCCGGGCAGCGGGGGCCGUCCGCGCCGGGUACGGGGCCCGGCAGGGUUCCGGGGGCACGGCCCGGUGCGGCGCCGGGUCCGGGGCC